UCCAUUCUUUCGUGGGGAUACUCCAUGGAACAUGCUAGCCCCACCCUAACCAUAGAAAUUAGGCGUUCUUCUUUGCAGUAAUUUCUUGUUUGUACUGGAAUUUGAUUGCAGUUUACUCUUGCUUCAUCUUCUUGUAAAAGACUUGGCUCUAUAAUUUCCAACACUUGGUCAGGCAAUGCCAUCCUAGCAAAUUUCUGAAUGUUAAAGACCUUCCACAAAAAUAUCACUAGCAGGCUUCUUUCCUGUCAUCAUCUCUAGCAGUAGGAUCCCAUAACUGUAAACAUUCCAGUUGUCGACAACUCACUUCCUAAACCAUAUUCUGCAAUUGGCAAAAUUAUAUAUGUAAAAAGUAAAACAAAGUGAAGAUUUAGCAAAUAACAAGCGUAAAUUAAAGAAGUCAUGACAACCUGGAGGCCGAAGCUGCAUAGCCAAUUGUUCCUAUCACGCCAACUGAACUGCUUUGAACUGGAUUAGUAAGAUCUGAAACAAACUUUGCUAGCCCAAAAUCUCCGACAUGUGCAAUCAUGUCAUUGUCUAGAAGAAUAUUACUUGGCUUUAAAUCACAAUGGAUAAUUGGCUUAUGGCAAUGAUGAUGAAGAUAAUCUAGUGCAUUUCCAACAUCUAUGGCAAUGUUAAUCCUUUGAAGAAGGUUUAGAUUCUGAUGUUCAACUAGUUUAACAUCAACUUUUGAGUUCAGAUGCAACCAUUGUUCUGAGUUUCCAUUUGGCAUGUACUCAUA
rnacentral:misc_RNA from 1 species